rnacentral:rRNA from 1 species
UGACGAAGCGACGCCGCGUGUGGGAAGAAGGCCUUCGGGUUGUAAACCACUGUCGGGAGUUAAGAAAUGUAAGGGUGUUAAUAGCAUCCUUACUUGACUAAGGCUCCGGAGGAAGCCACGGCUAACUCUGUGCCAGCAGCCGCGGUAAUACAGAGGCGGCAAGCGUUGUUCGGAAUUAUUGGGCGUAAAGAGCACGUAGGCGGCUAUGUAAGUCGGUUGUGGAAGCCUUCCGCUCAACGGGAGAACAGCAUCCGAUACUGCAUGGCUUGAGUGCGGGAGGGGAGAGUGGAACUUCUGGUGGAGCGGUGAAAUGCGUAGAUAUCAGAAGGAACGCCGGCGGCGAAAGCGGCUCUCUGGCCCAUAACUGACGCUGAGUGUGCGAAAGCUAGGGGAGCAAACGGGAUUAGAUACCCCGGUAGUCCUAGCCGUAAACGAU